AUUAUAUUUGGUUUUUGUGUAAAUAAAGUUUUUGAGAUAUCUGUUUCUUAUACAGUUUAAGUAUCUGAUACCGUCCCUAUCUGGGGACCAUAUAUUAAGAUGGAUUUUUGGAUACAGGGGAUGGUAAGAAGAGCUUGCUCUGAUCCACUCCACGCAUCGACCUGGUAUUGCAGUACCUCCAGGACCGGUGCACCUCUC
ensembl:snRNA U2 U2 spliceosomal RNA